UACAGAGGGUGCGAGCGUUAAUCGGAAUUACUGGGCGUAAAGCGUACGUAGGUGGUUAGGAAAGUCAGUGGUGAAAGCCCAGAGCUCAACUCUGGAAUUGCCAUUGAUACUCUCUAGCUAGAGUUCUAAAGAGGAUAGUGGAAUUUCCGGUGUAGCGGUGAAAUGCGUAGAUAUCGGAAGGAACACCAGUGGCGAAGGCGACUAUCUGGGUAAGAACUGACACUGAGGUACGAAAGCGUGGGGAGCAAACAGG
rnacentral:rRNA from 1 species